CUUUAUUAAUAAAUAACAAAUAAAGAAAACCAAAAGCAAAGUCCAGGAGGCAAGCAGGGGUCAGUCACCAGAGCGGGUAGUCAGACGAGCCAGGAUCCGGAGAACGGAGAGCAGCGAAGUCAGGAACAAGGCCAGAGUCAGGAACCAGGAACACACAGGAACAAGGCCAGAGUCAGGAACCAGGAACAAACAGGAAACACAUGAACAAGGAGACUUCUGGGGAACAGGAAACCACGCAAGGGCAAGGAGGUACUGGGAUUAGCUACUUAAAUAGGCUGCACUGAUUAGCAGAAGGAGCUGAUCGUUAAUCUCAGCUGAAAACUCAGACAUUGAGAAAGGAAGGGUUGCUGUUUAAAACAGCAAAGAAACCCUGACAGUACCUCCUCCUCAACGACUCCCCCCCCAUCCCUGCUGGUGGGUCCAGGCUUCAUGGGGAAGUGGGCGUGAUAGGAACGAAGGAGGGAAGGUGCAUGGACAUCAGAGGCUGGAACCCAGGAGCGACACAGUGUUUACAUUGUGGGGUUUACAUGCCUUUAGAGGCUGCCUUCUUAACAGCCACCAGAGGCACUUCUGCCUUCAAUAGCUUAGUUUAACUCAUAAGAGACCUUUGCCGCACAAGCGUACUAGUCUCUUAGCCUCUUGUUUCCCUGUGGGUAAACAUUGAAUUGGAUGAUCUCAGCCAAAGAGGCGUAGCGCAAUCGUGGAGACUGGCGCUAGGCAUGAAAGAUAAGUAAAACCAUUCAAACACUCACAAGGCAAUGAGGGGACUAUAAAGGUGGCAAGACACGUGUUUGCACUCCUAACACUAUAGUGUUCCUUUAAGUUGAAGCCCAGGUUCGGUGGAUGAAUUUAGAAAAAGAAAAAAAACAUUGUGCCAAUUUCUUUCUUUAAUCAACUUUUUAAAAUCACUGUCGCCAAAUAUACCUCCAACUUCAGCACAAGCUCCGCAGCCACGGGACAAGCAUUAUCAACAAUCAAGAAAUACAAUGUACAUAAUUUCUUCCUGGAUUGGAAGGUGUACGUUAACUUACUGGAUCAGCAAACAGAGUAUAGGGUUAGGAAAACCUCUGAUCGGAAUGAUAUCUAAGAUGUUUUAUUGCAGGUCACAAUCGGAUCAGUUUAUAGCUUCUGAAUUCUGCCGAGACGUCAAUCAGAAAUACCAUUAGUUGAUGACCAUUCAAAAAUAACAUUCGUUGAUGAAUCUGUUGUCAAUACUAGCUAAAGAGAGGGGCUAGGACAGCGUAAAGGUGGGGUGGGAUAUUGUUUGGGGAAUAUUAUGUAGUUUUAAUAUUUCCAUAAAAGUGCUUGCAUUUCCAAAACAUUGAUUGAUUACGGUUUGACUGAUCCUGAGUUUGAUGUCAAAAUUUGAGGAUCUGAUGCAAUUUUUUUUAUUUAUUUCUUCAACAUAACAUUUAUCCUGGAUAUAUUUUGCUCCCUCUCCUCUUCACGAUGACACCUCUAUUCAUACACCCGUUACCAGUGGUUUCCAACUUUCCUAUAUAUUACCAAAUAUAAGAAGGUAUUUUUUAAUAUCUUUAAAUAUUUAGGAUGGAGGAAAUGGAUUUUGUACCAGAGCUAACAUUCCACAAAUGUCAAACUUAAUCCUAAAUCCACUUCAUUUUUUAACCUUUUAUUUGCCUGCCGUUAGUAAGAUGAGGGGCAAAACUUGGCUUGUGAUCUGUCAAAUCUACGGUUUCAUAUUUGCUGUGUUUUGGAAGGUUAGAUUAUUUCUUAGCAGUGUUUACAGGACACAUACCGCAGAGUAUGUUGAGCCGUGACCACGUACGGAGUCGAAACAAGUACAAUUUGUAACCUGCAAACUAACACUGAGCUGGAAAGGUCCAGUGCAGGCGUUUAACACGUAAUAUUCCAAAACACAGAGGACAUGAAGUAAAAUCAUUUGCUGUGGUCCUACUACAUUUUAAAAAAUAUACAUAAGUCAAGCAUAGUAAUUUUGAUUUAGUAAAUGAGUCAAGCUGAUAAUGUAACCAGGACAGACAUUCUACCAGAAACUACUUUAAAACGGUCAUCAAAUUUUAACUUUUCAGAAGUUUAUCACAUUUAUUGAAACUUUAUCUGGCUGAGCAUACCACUGUCAUCUGACCAACUGCUGCUCAAUCUAGCCAGCCCGCUCCUGCAGUUUCACACAGAGCAACCACAGCAGCCAAGUGAGGUUGAGCACCAGUUUGGUCAGACAGCAGUAGAGUCUGACCCAACACCGCUGCUUGCGUAGAUAAAAAGUGAUAUUUUGAAAUGCAUCAUCUAACAAUAUUAUGAAGUUUAAUAAAAUGUGAUAAACGUUAAAAUAACGAGAAGUGAAAAACUGACGCCAGUAGUACUUUAAAAAUAGAAUGGGAACCACAACCACACCAAACCCAAAGUCAGUAUCUGCAAUCUAGAAGGCAGUUUUCAGAAUAAUUCAGUUCCUGUCUGGCUGUCAUUUGGCAUUUAUUAUCAUUCGUAUUACAUAUACUACAGUUUUAUAUAAACAAACCCUGCUGCAUGCGGGUAGGUUAUUAUAAUUUAUAUAGCACCAACAUAAUGCACAACAUAAAAAGGGGAUACUAGAGGUAAAGAAGGCACCAUAAUCACUGAAGCUCACUAUAAUGGUUAUGGAGGCAGGAGUUCCCUGCUGCCCUCCAGAUCUAAUUUGUCACAGCGUUUUAGAAUGGUUUGAGAAUAGGUCUGGAUCCCAGGGUGCCAUAGAAAGGCCAACACAGGACCGCUCUUAUUGGCAGAAAACAGUCAGCCGAGACCCUCAACCAAUGAGUGUGACCCUUCCAAAAAUGAAUAUAUGCCAGAAAACAUAGGGGUGUUGUAUGUUAAAGGAACACUCCAAAAAAUACAACUCCUGCAGCACUGUACUGGCUAUACUGGCAGGAGUGCCCUGGUGCUCUCAAAGGAGAAGUAAUCAAACCACUUGCAAACUUACCUGCGGUCUGCUGGAAACAGCCUCUUCUGAAAGGCAAAAGCUCCCACUAGGAGCUUCCAUAAGCUCCACAUGCAGGGCCCGCUCAUUGACUAACAGUGCCAGCUGAACUUAGCUCUGUGCUACAGCUGAUCUCCAGCUUAGGCUGCGAUUAAAAGAUAGUAGACCACAAGUCAAAUGUCAGGCCAUUCGCAAACAGUUUGACUACUUAACCUUAGAUGACGCCAGUGCCCUCCUGGCACCAUAGGGUUAUGGUGCAUGAAGUAUUGCUUUAAAAACAUAAAAUUAUUUUAGCCCCAAACAAGGACUGCUACCACCAUGGGAAGUAUGUGCAAGCAGACUUCAGCUAUAGCUUUAUACACAAAUGCUUGCAAUUUAUGUAUUGGAUUUGAGAGAUUAUUCCAUUAUUUUGUCAUUAUUCAUAAUCACAGUCAUAACAUCUUAUAGCUGCAGUAUGAGUAGUGAGUCUAGUGGUUAGGAUUCGGCGCUCUCACCGCCUUGGCCCGGGUUCGAUUCCCGGUCAGGGAAAGUUGGACAGACUAGAUGGGCCAAAUGGUUCUUAUCUGCCAUCACAUUCUAUGUUUCUAUGUUAUAGUUUGAUGGGUUUUCAGCAGUGCUGCCAUCUUGUGGCAGUUUGCAUUAAAGAGAAAUACAUCAUAUACAAAAAACAACCGUCGUCUAUUACAGUUGGUGUAAUAGCAUUUCUUUAAUUGGAUUUCGUGUGCUGGCUUCACUUCACAAAAAGUCUCACUUGCUGAUGAUAAAACGUAGCGGUGUCAUAGUCGUGCAGCACAGUGGUGGCUGAUCUUGGUAAUAUCUGAACACUGAGAGUUACAAGAAAUACAGUUCGUAAAAUACCUGCAGGUCAAGACGAGUUACCAUGGAACUGAUGGACAAUUACCAAAGCGGUCUACUAUCCCACUUCGAUGUGGGACCCUCACCUAGUGAAAUUACACAACGCCAAUGAUUAUCUGUAGAUAAAAACGUACAGAAUUUGUUCCAAAGCGACAUUUUACCACGUCCAUACGUAGCACACGCCGCUUUAUUCAAGAAACAUACAGACGAGGCAAGAUCUGCUUUCAAGGUUUAUAACACACACAAAAAAUGCAACUGCAGGAGUAUCUCAGUUUAGAUCACGGGUAAUAAUAUUCUAAAUGUUUGUGUAUGUAGGGGAGGGGAAUUAUUUUGAAAAAUACUGGUUCCUGAAUCUUUACUCCCAAAGUUCAGCAGCGUGCUAAGUGGAAGCCAGGAAAACAAAGUCUGACUUGAUGAGUAGUAAUUAUUCACCUAGUAUCACACUAUUCAAAUUAACGUUGUUCUUUUUAAGUGCAAUAUGUACCCUUCAGAAUAGCAUAUUAUUUCAAACCCCCCUUUUGGCCCAAAGUUAUGCCUGAACAACUAAAUGAUCUGCAAAACAUUGUAGGGGCAAGAAAAUAUACUGCAUGGGAGCGUGAGCGUAAUAUAGAAAGCCAGUAGUUAUUUACUGAACACAUAUUGAAGAUCAAAUUAGAACAGAAGUUGCCUUGGUGAAGGCCAAGCUAGCAGGGUGCAAGGAUUUGCCAUCUGACUUUUGUUGGUGUAAAUGAGUUGUUACCUAAAUGAUAAAUACACUCAUAAAAUAGACCUUUUAAUGAUCUUCCAGGGGAUGUAUGGCAUUUUGAGAGUAUUGUUCGAACAGCCUUUCAGAACUGCUGUGCAUAGGAUAAGUUUAUUAGAAAAUAAAUAAAUGUGUAUUAUUUAACAUCUGUGUGUGUUUACGCAUUGAAGUAUGGUAAUAAAUAUAUGCAGUUCCUAUUUUCACAAAGGGGUAGCAAUAAAUAUUGAACAAAGUUGCCCCAUGAACUAGCACUGCACAUAUGUACAAUACAUUGACAUUUAGGUAUAAGCGGUCUUGACUACAGGCAAAAUGACGCAACUACAGAGAGAAUGAAAAGGGACGAUUUCAUAAUAGAAUAUUCUAGGGCAGAAAAUGUGGUUUGUACCAAAAACAAAAAGACAGACAGAAGAGUUGCAACAGAGAAAAACAAAACCAUUAACCCCUUAAGGACCAAUGACAGAUUUAUUUUGUCAUGGCAGUCUGUACCUAGAGAACCGAUUACAGAAUAAUUCCAUCAUGUACUUACACUUCCCUUCACUUUGUUGUGAGUUGUAAAAGUGGAGAGACAGAUCAGAGAGGUACUGUUUGUGCUAAUCGUUAUUAAACUGGAUCAGUAAAAUGGAAACUCCUUUCAGGCCCAUAAAGCCAAAUUUUACGCUAUCGCUGCCCUUUGAUCACUGCUAGCAAUGAGCAGAAUACAGAUCACAUUAUUUUACUGUGAUCGGUUUCAUUUACCCUCAUAGGUUACAUUUAGUUUCUAAUUUCAUUAAAUUUUAAAUUGGUCAUUUACUCAGCAAGGGUGUACAGUAUUUGGGGGAAAUGUAGUGUUAGAUUAGUUAGAAGUUAAAAGAAAGAAAAAAGUUUAAAAAAGGUUGGUUAGUUGUAGUUAAGGUUCGGUCUGAAAAUACUUUGAAGGCGUACACAAUUUUUGUGUCUGAUUCAGAAGCGACAGGUAGUGCUGCAGGGUGUGACACAGGUGACAAUAUAUGCCAAACCUAGAAACAAGUAUGGAUUACCCUGAUGCUGCCCAAGGUGCAGGAGCAGGUGACUGGACACCUCUCCCAUUAUUUUACCCCUGACAUCUUUAUCUGAAGUACAACUAAAGGCAAACUGGCUGAUGUGACCAGCAGUGGCCCACUGGAUUUAUGCAGUUGGUCCUGUGGAUCCCAAUCCAGUCCUCAAGUACCCCCUAACAGUUCAGGAUUUAAGUUGUACAAUCUCUAAGCUCAACCAUUUACUACAAGAAAAGUAGCAUGGUACCCAACCAAAGUACCUGAAUUAAAACGAUUCUGGGGGCAUACAAUGUUAAUGAGGAUCAUAGCAAAGCCUAUUUUGCUUGUAUUAGACAAAUAAUCUUAUCUGCUGUACCCCCAUCCCCCCAGUAACUAUGAAUAUGCAGAUGUGAACCAUUACUGCAGUUUAUAAAAAAAUUUACGAUAAUAGCGAGUGAGUACUAAUAAGAACUAAUCCACAGUAUGACAAAUUGUUUAAAAGCUGCCCUGUAAUUUCCAACCUAAAUCAGAAGUCUUAAAGCUUUUAUGUCCCUACAAAACAUCUGAACACUUGUAGUAUAGACUAGAGAAAAUUAUAUGCUCUUGUUAAUAAUAUGAAUUGACAAGCUGCUUAUAUUUUAAAAUAGAUGUGGCCUUUGUGGAGUAGUUUGUAACCAUGCUCUGCUGAAAUGUUUUAAAAAUUUUACAAAAACAAUGGCCUCAUGAUCAGUAUCAAAAUAUACUAUUUGAGAUACCAUAUCUUAAAGAAGAUACCAUUAUGGUAUAUGUAAUGGUUUGAGCAAGCAACCUGCUGGAAUGCUACACAAUGGUACAUAGAGCCAGGAUCUAAAUUUUAAUAAAAUAAAACAACUGAAAAACACCUAUAAAUGGCUGUCUCAUAUUCGUCCCUUAAACACUAAUACACACACAUAUAU